CCAUUCAUCCAUCAGUGAACUUUUGGGUUAUUUCUACCCUUUGGCUAUUGGGAAUAUGCUGCUGUUAACAUGGGUUAUGGAUCUCGUAUGAACUGUCUA